GACGAACGCUGGCGGCGUGCCUAAUACAUGCAAGUCGAACGAAGCUGUUUUAACUGGUGCUUGCACCGACUUAAACAACUGAGUGGCGAACGGGUGAGUAACACGUGGGUAACCUGCCCCAAAGCGGGGGAUAACAUUUGGAAACAGAUGCUAAUACCGCAUAAUCACAGAAACCACAUGGUUUCUGUGUCAAAGAUGGUUUCGGCUAUCACUUUGGGAUGGACCCGCGGCGUAUUAGCUAGUUGGUAAGGUAAUGGCUUACCAAGGCAAUGAUACGUAGCCGAGCUGAGAGGUUGAUCGGCCACAUUGGGACUGAGACACGGCCCAAACUCCUAAGGGAGGCAGCAGUAGGGAAUCUUCCACAAUGGACGAAAGUCUGAUGGAGCAACGCCGCGUGAGUGAAGAAGGUUUUCGGAUCGUAAAACUCUGUUGUCAGAGAAGAACGUGUGCGAGAGUAACUGUUCGUGCAGUGACGGUAUCUGGCCAGAAAGCCACGGCUAACUACGUGCCAGCCGCCGCAGUAA
rnacentral:rRNA from 1 species